CUGUGAUCGACGAGGCACUUUACAGCAUCAAGCUAAGAAAUCAAAUCAUCUGGACUUAAUAUGAAGGUCUACCCAUCUGCUCACUCCAUCAACCUCCCCUCACCACCAGCUGUCUCUCCUCAUUUAAAUACUCUCUCCUCCCACUAAUGGAAUUAGCCACAAGUUUCCUGAGCACAGGCCCGGGGGAAAGCCAACGACACGCAGGAAAAGGAAAGAAGAGUGAGGAGACAGACAGAACAGAGAGACAGACAGAAAACAAAGUGGAGUGAGGAAGAAGACGGCAGUGGAAAGUUCGUGCCAGAAAAGGUGGCUUUAAUGGUAACACUUCUGUACUGUGCGUCAGAGACUGGAAGUGAUGGAGAGCAGACACUGUGGACUUACUUUACUCUCAACCAUCAAAACUGAGUUAUAUGAGGAAGUUCUGCCUCAGGGCAUCGUAGGAAGAGGUGUCAUAUGUAGCUUUCACUUCAGACAAAGUUCAGACCAACCUACAUUAUUUAGACUCAUAUUUAAUAAGCUGCAUAUGUCUUCAAAGGGUGACAGAACAAAAAAAGGUGACACAUUUUUGAUAAAUACUUCACAGCAGAAAGAAUAAUUUGAUUGACAUAAAAUAAAUCAGUUAUAAGCAGAUUAUUACUCUAAUCAAACCACAUAUCAUACUAAAAAUAGUUAAAUCCCCAAAAAAUCAGUAAUGUUGUAAUUCUACUUAUUGAAUAUGUGAGGUAUUGGAGCCAACAAGGGCGUCUAUUCAGCAGCAACCCAACAGAUUUCCUUGAGACCAAAGUGCGGGCAUAUUCAGAGACAAUAUUAUUAUGUUGAAUUACCCAACAAAUCCACAGAACUGUAAUGAUUUGGGGAUGCAGUAGGCAAAGAAUUCUGUGAUUGAAUCAGAUUUUGCAGCUCAAUAUGAAACGUCAAUGUUGUUCUGAUUGUUUCAGUUCAGGGCCAAACUAAACUCCUUGAUAAGCCUGCUGGAGUCAUUCAAAAGUUUUCUUUAAGCCUUUGGUGGUGGGCCAGAAAUAAAUAACAUUUGUGAAUACAUUUGCUUCAUAUUGUUUUGUUUGAAGUCUUGAAGUCAUGUUACCAUUUUUUCCCAUCAUUAUUAAAUAACUGAGUGUUGAAGUAGGCUUUCACUCUGUACACAUUUCCUGAAGUUCAGUUGGACAGUCACCAGAACAUCCAAAUGUGAAGUGAGACAGCUUUAUCAGUGUUUGGUCAGUUUUCAUUUCUAAGUGUGUUUUUAUGUACAGCUUGUAGCACAUU